UACGAGUUAUCAACUUACAGAGCUAGCAUCGUUCAUAGGCAUUGGCUAUGUGCAAGCUACUUUCCUUCAACAGUUAUAUGAGAUCCAACAAUGUGCAACCACUGUACUCACGAACGAAAGUUGGUGGCGCUCGAAGACGAUCAGAUACCUGUCCUAGUCUCAACCAUAAACGAUGCCGACUAGUGGAUCGGCGUGAUGUUUUUUUAUAUGACUCCGUCGGAACACUCCAUGAGAAAUCAAAGUUUUUUGGGUUACCUGGGGGCGAGUAUGGUCGCAAGUGCUGAAACUUAAAGGACAUUUGACGGAAGUGGCACCACCAGUGAGUGGAGCCUGCGGCUUAAUUUGACUCAACACGGGGAAACUUACCAGGUCCAGACAUAGUAAUGUGAUUGACAGAUUGAGAGCUCUUUCUUGAUUCUAUGGGUGGUGGUGCAUGGCCGUUCUUAGUUGGUGGAGUGAUUUGUCUGGUUAAUUCCGGUUAACUGAACGAGACCUCAUGCCCUGCUACUCAUAUGCCUACGCGGGGUGUUCUAUUUCUCCCCAUGACGGAUCACGCCUUCAUUACCGAAGGGACUGUCCGGCGUCCUAUGCCCAGAAACACAACGAUCACCGGCGGACGAACCUGCACGGCGUCGCCGACGAUCCGAACUCUUCACCGGACCAUUCAAUCGGUAGGAGCGACGGGCGGUGUGUACAAACGUGGCAGGGACCGUAGUCAACCGCCGACGCUGACUGACCUCGACGCUUACCUAAGGGAAUUCCUCGGUUUGAAGGAUCAAUAAUUUGCAUGAUCUAUACCCCAUCACGAAUGAAUUUCUGAGAAGAUUACCCAAUAACCUUUCGGACCAGGUUAUAAAACUCGAUUUGAAGUCCAUACAAGUUGGUAGGACGCUGCUGUUGUCGGGACCAGAACAAUCUUUAAAGUGUGUCAAUCACAAAGACCAUGUUUAAUUUGCCUCAAAAACAUUCGGUAGGGACUUAAACC
rnacentral:rRNA from 1 species